UAGGGAAUAUUAGAAAUGGACGAAAGUCUGAUCUAGCAACACCGCGUGUGCGAUGAAGGCCUUCGGGUUGUAAAGCACUUUUUGGAAGGAUUAGGAAGGAAUGUACUUCCAGAAUAAGUCUCGGCCAACUACGCGCCAGCAGCCGCGGUAACACGUAGGAGGCGAACGUUAUCCGGAUUUACUGGGCGUAAAGCGCGUGUAGGUGGUUCUGUAAGUAGGGCGUGAAAGCUCCUGGCUCAACUGGGAGAGGCCGUUCUAAACUGCAGAGCUAGAGGAUGGUAGAGGGAGGUGGAAUUCCGGGUGUAGCGGUGGAAUGCGCAGAUAUCCGGAGGAACACCAGUGGCGAGGCGGCCUCCUGGACCAUUCCUGACACUCAGACGCGAAAGCUAGGGUAGCAAACGG
rnacentral:rRNA from 1 species